CGGCGAUUGCUCGAGCGGAGAUUGUCUGAUAUCCAUUAUCCUUAUUGAUUUAUUUUUUCGUCUUGCAAUGACAACUGACCAAACAGUUCUAUUAAGAACUACUCUUCUUUCUCUGCCUUCUGCCUUCUUUCCCUUAUUUCUGUAUUCACCUUUUGUGUACCUGACUAUCGGUUAUGACAGGUGUACCACUUGCUUUUGGAGUAGAUGACAUCUAUUCUGGGACAGGCAGUUGUCCUACACUGGACAGCUGGGGUGAUGUCAAAUCCUGAACACUUUCAGGCAAAGCAUUUAAAGCAUGCCAUAUAUUUUGAGGAUAAUGGCAUCCAAAAAUAUUGCUUUCCUUGCUUUUGUUUGAGUUCCCGACAAAGGAAGAGGUGACAUUGGCAUUGCCCUAAGUGCCAGCAUAUCUUGUCGUGCCCCUGACUUUAAAAAGCACCUCCAUAAUCAUGAAGUCUGGUGGAUACAGACUCAUUUCGAAAGAGGGCACACUUCUGCUGGCUUGACAGUGUAACAAAAUGGAGAACAAAGUCCGAGCCAUGCCAGGAAUUUUACAAAAUGUACACACUGCAGCCUUGCAGACACUGCAGUGAGCUUUACACGAACUGCUUACCAGGUGUGCAAAUUAUGCAUAAAUGUGAUCACUGCUAGGUACUUGAUGAUAAAAUGCAAUACGAAUAAUCAUUAAUAUGGCUGUGCAUGCAUGUCUACUGUUCAGAAGGCAGUUUAGGUAUUAAUGUCACCAUUUUCUUAUGAAUCCUCUAGGCUAUGUGGAACUGGAUGAGGAGUAAUUUCUAACUGCGAAAUUCUGAAAAAACAGAGGUGUUAAUUUAUCGGACCAAAA